rnacentral:rRNA from 1 species
UAGCCGUAAGUGAAUUUGAUCCUGGGCUACUAUAUGAUACCACAGGUGGGGGGACGCGUUGAGAAUAUGAGCGGCGGCACGGGUGAGUAACACGUGGGCAACCUGCCUGUAGAGACUGGGAUAACCCCGGGAAACCGGGGCUAAUACCGGAUAAUACUUUCUUUUGCAUAAAGGAAAGUUGAAAGGCGGCUUCGGCUGUCACUUACAGAUGGGCCCGCGGCGCAUUAGCUAGUUGGUGAGGUAACGGCUCACCAAGGCGACGAUGCGUAGCCGACCUGAGAGGGUGAUCGGCCACACUGGGACUGAGACACGGCCCAGACUCCUACGGGAGGCAGCAGUAGGGAAUCUUCCGCAAUGGACGAAAGUCUGACGGAGCAACGCCGCGUGAGUGAUGAAGGUUUUCGGAUCGUAAAACUCUGUUGUUAGGGAAGAACAAGUUGGGUAGUAACUGACCCAACCUUGACGGUACCUAACCAGAAAGCCACGGCUAACUACGUGCCAGCAGCCGCGGUAAUACGUAGGUGGCAAGCGUUGUCCGGAAUUAUUGGGCGUAAAGCGCUCGCAGGCGGUCCUUUAAGUCUGAUGUGAAAUCUCGCGGCUCACCGCGAACGGUCAUUGCAAACUGGAGGACUUGAGUA